GACGAGGGAUCCUAGCGUUGCUCGGAAUCAUUGGGCGUAAAGCGGGUGUAGGCGGCUUCAAAAGUCAGUUGUGAAAGCCCCAGGCUCAACCUGGGAAGUGCUUCUGAUACUAUGAGGCUUGAGUAUUGGAGAGGAUAGUAGAAUUCCUGGUGUAGUGGUGAAAUACGUAGAUAUCAGGAGGAAUACCGGUGGCGAAGGCGGCUAUCUGGCCAAAUACUGACGCUGAGACCCGAAAGCGUGGGGAUCAAACAGG
rnacentral:rRNA from 1 species